rnacentral:rRNA from 1 species
GUUAGGAAUAUUGGACAAUGGGCGCAAGCCUGAUCCAGCCAUGCCGCGUGAACGAUGAAGGCCUUCGGGUUGUAAAGUUCUUUAGCCGAUGAUUAUAAUGACUGUAGUCGGAAAAUAAGCCCCGGCUAACUUCGUGCCAGCAGCCGCGGUAAUACGAAGGGGGCGAGCGUUAUUCGGAAUCACUGGGCGUAAAGCGUGCGUAGGCGGUUUUGUAAGUUAGGAGUGAAAGCCCAGGGCUCAACCUUGGAAUUGCUCUUAAAACUGCAAGGCUCGAAUCUCGGAGAGGAUAGCGGAAUUUCCAGUGUAGCAGUGAAAUGCGUAGAUAUUGGAAGGAACACCAGUGGCGUAAGCGGCUAUCUGGACGAGUAUUGACGCUGAGGCACGAAAGCGUGGGGAUCAAACAGGAUUAGAAACCCCUGUAGUCC